CAAUUAUUAUGCUGCACCUGGAGGAGAGCUAGGAUGCAAUGAGGCUUAAUUGAGGAUGAAGCUCACCAGGGCAGAAACAAGCAGGGCUUCUAUAAAGCCAGGGAGCUGGUAACAGAGACCCCCCAGUCACACUCUCUGAUACAAGGGGGAGAGGGGCAGGAGUAGGAUAAUCAAUGAGAAGAGCUGAAGCAAACUGUUCAGACAAGCCAUAGACUGAAAACUGGUCCUAAAAAUUAUCUGACCAAUACUUAAAAUAAAAAAAAUAUAUUCUUGGAAAUCGGGAUUGGUUUGCAAAUAAUUUUCAAAUGCGGGGGGGGGGACCUUAAAUUUGCAAAACAUAUAAUUUGCCAUGAAUAAUUUGAUUAGCUCCCUCUAAUUGCUACAUACCCUCUGCAGCAAUAAUGAUCAGUUUGGGCACCACUGAAAUUGUACUACUCCUUCAGUAUCUGCAUAGAAGGAGCCUUCUUGGUGUUGUUUUGAAAUUGCCACUUAGCAAUUGAGAGCUAGUUCUGUUUGGUGUGCCAGAAAAGACAAGAAGGCAGUGAUGCAUCGGAGGUCGAUAUGAUCAGCUUCAGGCGAAAAAGACAAUUAGCAGCAGGGAAUUUGGACAGAUCAGGAGGGGUGAUGUGAGGUAUGGCGAAGAACAGCGAUUUAGAGGUCACAAGGCAACAGAGAGCAAAGACGUGAUAAACAAGGGUUUUAACAGUGGUGAUGGAGCAAAAAGGACAUAUUUGAAUGAGGGACUUGGCCACUUGAGAGCUCUUUUAUCCACCGUUUCCCGAAAGGAGACCUUCCUUCCUUUAAUAUGCAUCAGAUCCUCAGAUCUAUCCAUGAUGCACUCAGAAUAAUUCAGAGAGGCGAGACAAAAGUGACUUUAACAUUCUCUAGAGGCAUCUGCCUCUGUUGUGCCUGUAUUUAAAGAAAAUCCUGAUGGAGCUCUAGACAAUUUAAACAUAUGUUUUUUCCUGUCAAAUUAUACAUGAUUAUAUCCAAAAAAUGUACACCACAUUUUUGUGUUUUUAGGGCAAACCAUUUUUUAAAACAUGCAUUUUAAAACACACUUGACUGGAAGGUACACAAGAUAUAUAGAGAUGUAGAUAUAGAUAUAUUUUGUCAGAUCAGAUAAAUAGGAUCUGACAUUUAGGCAACAAACUAAGUAGCCAGAUUUUCAAAAGAGCUGAGCACAGUGAGUCCUGAGAUCUUUCUGAAAAGCUGGCUACAGCUGACACAGGUGCCUAAGCUCUUCUGCAACAUGGCCCACCUUUCAGUGCCUAAAUGGGAACUGAGCUCUUUUGAAAACCUGGUCCCAGUUAGGGUGCUGAAUACUUGGAUAUCUGUUCUGUAGCUCUGGAAAAAUCAGCCCGUACUCCAGACCCUUUUUUGUUACCAUAGUAAGAGAGGAGAAGCAGCUUACCAUAGCUGUAUUUGACCUCAGACCAGACUAUCCAGCUGUCUCUAGUUGGCAAAAUGAUGCAUGAGAGGCGAGGACAUUUUUAUUUCUUAUGCUGAUAGAAAUGAAGAAACCCAUCUUUGCACUGAUUCCUACCCUCAUGCUUUCCCUGAAGAUGGUUUACGUUGUUACUGAUUAUUAAUAUUGCUGCCUGACCUGCUUUAAUAAUCCAUGCCAUUAAUCAGUGCUGCUCACCUUCAGCUAUGUGCUUGUAUCUCUGCCAGCCAUCCAUGCCCAUAAAUAUCACCACUAUGUAUCACCAUACAAACCCCGUAAAUCGAUGCUGCCAGUCCAUCAGUUCUGAGAGAGGUUUGCUCUGAAAUCCAGCAUUCGAUGUGGAUUCCAAAGGGCAAGUUCAGGUUAAAGCAGGAUAAACACACAAAUUUACUAACUGGAAUAGCUGUGAGUUUCACUGUUACAACAACUACAACAUUCUUUAAGGAAGAAAACCCAAGACUGGAUCCAAAGCCCACUGAAAUCAAUGAGAGUUUUUCCACUGAUUAAACGGUCUUUGGAUUAGGUUCCUAGAAAGCUAUCCAUUGUGGGUGCUGUGAUCUUGAAAAUUUGGUGCCAAUAGUUGCUGUUGGGUGCUGAGCACUUUUGAAACUCUGGCCUCGGUUUUGGGUGCUGGGUACUUAAAAAUCUGAUCCUAUAUACAGAGAAAGGGAGACAGAACUAAUCUAUGCUAUCCUAGUUUUGAACCAGUUCCUCUAUAUUGAAAACUGUGCAUCACUUUAAGUUAAAGAGAUUUCUGAUCCUUCUUGCAGGCUCUAGAGCUCUGGGUCUUCAGCAGGCAGUUUGCAAAGAGCCAGCCCAGAGCAAGGUGGAUUGAGAGUGCCUUUUUGCCUAAGAGAGCAGCCUGCUUUGCCUCUCUGUUUUUGGUUCUUGUGUGUUAGGGUUCUGGACAAUUAAGUAUGGUUACAUUGCAGCCUUCCAGAAAUAUAAUAUUAUGGUUUUAUACAACUUUUCUGUAUGUAUGCCAUGAACAUAACACCAGUAUUUCUAAUAAAUACUUGAAAGAUUGUGAGGUACUCAGAGAGUGUGGUAAUAGGGACCAUAUAAUUACUUAAGAUAGAUAGGUACAUUGCACAGGUUUCCUUUCUAAUGCCGUGGGUUUUGUUGUUGUUCUUCAUCUUCUUUUUAAUGGAAACGGGGAGUUAAGUGAUUCA